AAAACGACUCUCGGCAACGGAUAUCUCGGCUCUCGCAUCGAUGAAGAACGUAGCGAAAUGCGAUACUUGGUGUGAAUUGCAGAAUCCCGUGAACCAUCGAGUCUUUGAACGCAAGUUGCGCCCGACGCCUUCGGGCUGAGGGCACGCCUGCCUGGGCGUCACGC
rnacentral:rRNA from 1 species